UGAUGAUGAUGAGGGAAAUCCUUGAAUCUUUCCCAAGAUUGGUAAAAUUCUCUCCAUCUUUCUUCUUGAAACUUAGAAUCUCACUUCUCAAAUA
rnacentral:snoRNA from 1 species